rnacentral:lncRNA from 1 species
AAUGGCAAGAUGUGGUCUGUGCCGGCAGCAAAUGAGAAAUAAAUCCAUCAAGGCCAAGCUCAGGCUGAUUUUGAAGCAGCUGCUGGAAUUUGCAUAAGAGCCUGGUACACACAGGAGAGUGUCUGGGGUGUUCCCCUAGGGAAAAUUGGGGAACAAAGAGCAUGGUGAGUGGAUUUAGAAGAGCAAAAGCAGAAGGAGUCCAUUAUAUCUUGUCUUGAAGCUUUAAUGAUUUUUUUUUUUUUAAAUUUUUGGCUGAACCCCUUGGUGGGGGAAUCAAACCCACACUGCUUGCAUUGGGAGGUGGAGUUGUAACCACUGGAUUCCUGGGGAAGUCUCCUUAAAUGAAAUCGUUAAUAGAGCUGCAUCUAUCACAAACUUGCUGGGGAAAGUAACUUCAUCUCUAUUAUAUCUCGUUUCUCUUUCUCAAAAAUUAAAAGAUUAGACCCAUGAACUUUGUCAUAUCUAAUUUAUACUAAGUGUAUUUCUUAAAGUCUUAAAUUAUAUUAUUAUAGUAUGAUAUUACAAAUAAAAUGUGUUGAAGAAAAA